UCAACCUGUUUCACUGUCUGAAUGAACUGAAUAAUCGUUCUCUAGUGGAGGAGAUCCAACAGUCCCUGAGAUCAGGAAGUCUCUCCACAGAUAAACUGUCUCCUGCUCAGUGGUCAGCUCUGGUCUUCAUCUUACUGUCAUCAGAAACAGAUCUGGACGUGUUUGACCUGAAGAAAUACUCUGCUUCAGAGGAGGCUCUUCUGAGGCUGCUGCCAGUGGUCAAAGCCUCCAACAAAGCUCUGCUGAGUGGCUGUAACCUCUCAGAGAGAAGCUGUGAAGCUCUGUCCUCAGCUCCCAGUCCUCUAGUCUGAGAGACCUGGACCUGAGUAACAACGACCUGCGGGAUUCAGGACUGAAUCGUUUUUCUGCUGGACUGAAGAGUCCACACUGCAGGCUGGAAACUCUCAGGGUGGACCAUGGUGGACUGCAGAGACUGAGACCUGGUCUGAGGAAGUAUGUCUGUGAACUGGAACUGGACACAAACACAGUAAACAGAAAACUCAAACUGUCUGACAACAACAGGAAGGUGACAGGAAUUCUUGUAUUUUUGCCAGUUACAUUAUG